rnacentral:rRNA from 1 species
CCUACGGGAGGCAGCAGUGGGGAAUUUUGGACAAUGGGCGCAAGCCUGAUCCAGCAAUGCCGCGUGAGUGAAGAAGGCCUUCGGGUUGUAAAGCUCUUUUGUCAGGGAAGAAACGGUGAGGGCUAAUAUCUCUUGCUAAUGACGGUACCUGAAGAAUAAGCACCGGCUAACUACGUGCCAGCAGCCGCGGUAAUACGUAGGGUGCAAGCGUUAAUCGGAAUUACUGGGCGUAAAGCGUGCGCAGGCGGUUUUGUAAGUCUGUCGUGAAAUCCCCGGGCUCAACCUGGGAAUUGCGAUGGAGACUGCAAGGCUAGAAUCUGGCAGAGGGGGGUAGAAUUCCACGUGUAGCAGUGAAAUGCGUAGAGAUGUGGAGGAACACCGAUGGCGAAGGCAGCCCCCUGGGUCAAGAUUGACGCUCAUGCACGAAAGCGUGGGGAGCAAACAGGAUUAGGAUACCCUGGUAGUCCACGCCCUAAACGAUGUCUACUAGUUGUCGGGUUUUAAUUAACUUGGUAACGCAGCUAACGCGUGAAGUAGACCGCCUGGGGAGUACGGUCGCAAGAUUAAAACUCAAAGGAAUUGACGG